rnacentral:rRNA from 1 species
AUGUUUAAUCUACAUCAAGAUUUUAUUCUUGGUUCGACCAUUGUGAUACAAGUCAAGGAGCAUAUUUCAUCUCCUCAAAUUGUUGUCUUUGGUUCGGCCAUCGUGGUACAAACCAAAGAGUGUAUUACAUCCAUUCCAAAAUUUGUCCUUGGUUCGGCCAUUGCGGUACGAGCCAAGGAGCAUGCAUGUUCCUUCUGCAUGUUGCAUAUGCUUCGUCCAAACGAUCUCCUUGGUUCGGUCCCCUUAGUGAUACAAGCCAGGAUGAACGCCUCGCUCCUUGGUUUGGUCCCUAUACGCGGAUACAAAUCAAGAGAGUAUCAUAGGCACGAAAACAUCAUAAAAAUGCCUUAA